GUUACUGAGGUGAAAGCUGAGGGACCACAUCUUCGGAUGUGGAGCGUACACAGGUGCGUGCAUGGCUGUCGUCAGCUCGUGUCGUGAGAUGUUCGGGUUAAGUCCCGCAACGAGCGCAACCCUGCAUUCAGUUGCCAUCGGUGAGGCCGGGCACUCUGGAUGGACUGCCGGCGACAAGCCGGAGGAAGGUGGGGACGACGUCAAGUCAUCAUGGCCCUUAUGUCCAGGGCGACACACGUGCUACAAUGGCCGGCACAGCGGGAAGCGAAGGGGCGACUCUGAGCGGAUCCCUUGAAAGCCGGUCCCAGUUCGGAUUGCAGUCUGCAACUCGACUGCAUGAAGUUGGAAUCGCUAGUAAUCGCGGAUCAGCCAAGCCGCGGUGAAUACGUUCCCGGGCCUU
rnacentral:rRNA from 1 species